UACAGAGGUGGCAAGCGUUGUUCGGAAUUACUGGGCGUAAAGGGCGCGUAGGCGGCCAUCUAAGUCAGACGUGAAAUCCCCCGGCUUAACCUGGGAACUGCGUCUGGUACUGGAAGGCUUGAGUGCGGGAGAGGGAUGUGGAAUUCCAGGUGUAGCGGUGAAAUGCGUAGAUAUCUGGAGGAACACCGGUGGCGAAGGCGGCAUCCUGGACCGACACUGACGCUGAGGCGCGAAAGCUAGGGUAGCAAACGGG
rnacentral:rRNA from 1 species